AGUGAACGCUGGCGGUAGGCCUAACACAUGCAAGUCGAACGGCAGCACAGUAAGAGCUUGCUCUUACGGGUGGCGAGUGGCGGACGGGUGAGGAAUACAUCGGAAUCUACUUUUUCGUGGGGGAUAACGUAGGGAAACUUACGCUAAUACCGCAUACGACCUACGGGUGAAAGCAGGGGUUCUUCUGACCUUGCGCGAUUGAAUGAGCCGAGGUCGGAUUAGCUAGUUGGCGGGGUAAAGGCCCACCAAGGCGACGAUCCGUAGCCGGUCUGAGAGGAUGAUCAGCCACACUGGAACUGAGACACGGGCCAUACUCCUACUGGAGAGAACGGUGGGGAAUAUUAGACAAUGGGCGCAAGCCUGAGCCAGCAAUAGCGCUAGAGUGAGGAAGUUCUUCGGGUUGUAAAGCCUCAUUGUUAGGAAGGAAAAGCAGCAGGUUAAUACCCCGCUGUUCUGACGGUACCCAAAGAAUAAGCACCGGCUAAAUUCGUG
rnacentral:rRNA from 1 species